rfam:Coprinopsis cinerea okayama7#130 chromosome 4 cont3.4, whole genome shotgun sequence.
GCCCGCCUAGCUCAAUCGGAUAGAGCGUCAGACUUUUAGGGCCCGGUCAGUUUGACCAAUCCAUCUGAAGGCUGCGAGUUCGAUCCUCGCGGUGGGCU